UUCUCGCUGUCAAACUUUUUGAAGGCACAGAGGAGGUCAGACUUGUGCGCAAACAGCUGCUCCCGCAGGACCCUGAGAGCCGAGCGCUCGGUUCGCCCGACACUGCGGACGAGACGACGGCAAACAGAAGAGUGGAGAACAUCGGUUAUCACAGAAAGAGGCAAAACGGGUUUCUCAUCAAGGUAUCUGAAGCUUCCUCUGUCAGUCCCUGAUUCAACAGAGACCAGAUGUCCUGCUGUCACCUUCUUUAAUGACCUCAAAUCCUCUUAGCGAUACGGAGGAGUGACUGCUGUUGUGUACUGCUCUUUAUCAAACUCUUCUGGGAAGGACGGCAUGCCAUUC